CCUAUAAAAAUAUUUCCCUUAUAAAUAGACUUCUGAAUUGCUUUUAUGUACUUGGUAUGUAAGAAGCAUUACUUUUUACAAUAUGAAUUCAAUUACAACUACCUUAUAUGCUGCCGUCAUGGCUGCUUUAAUAGCAAUUUCUUCUGCUCAACUUAAAUCUGUUGUCGAUGGAGAUACUAUCCUUGAUGAUGUCGCUGGUGCCAUUAACGCUCUUCUCUAGUGGUUAGAAAACGGAAUUCCAUAAAAAUGCUACUUUUUUGAUGAAAUGAAGAUUAAAAAAAUUAAACAAAAAGCAUUUAUGAAAGUUGCAAUGUUUUAAUAGUAAUAAACUUGGUAUAAUUACUAUUGCA